UACGAAGGGGGCUAGCGUUGUCCGGAAUCAUUGGGCGUAAAGAGCGCGUAGGCGGCCCUGUAAGUCCGCUGUGAAAGUCAAGGGCUCAACCCUUGGAUGCCGGUGGAUACUGCAGGGCUAGAGUCCGGAAGAGGCGAGUGGAAUUCCUGGUGUAGCGGUGGAAUGCGCAGAUAUCAGGAAGAACACCCGUGGCGAAGGCGGCUCUCUGGAACGCAACUGACGCUGAGAGCGAAAAGCGUGGGGGAGCAAAACAGG
rnacentral:rRNA from 1 species